GACGAACGCUGGCGGCGUGCUUAACACAUGCAAGUCGAGCGGUAAGGCCCCUUCGGGGGUACACGAGCGGCGAACGGGUGAGUAACACGUGAGCAAUCUGCCCAUCACAUCGGGAUAACUCCGGGAAACCGAAGCUAAUACCGAAUACGACCACCUCCGGCAUCGGAUGGUGGUGGAAAGUUCCGGCGGUGAUGGAUGAGCUCGCGGCCUAUCAGCUUGUUGGUGGGGUAACGGCCCACCAAGGCUUCGACGGGUAGCCGGCCUGAGAGGGUGACCGGCCACACUGGGACUGAGACACGGCCCAGACUCCUACGGGAGGCAGCAGUGGGGAAUAUUGGACAAUGGGCGGAAGCCUGAUCCAGCAACGCCGCGUGAGGGAUGACGGCCUUCGGGUUGUAAACCUCUUUCAGCAGGGACGAAGCGCAAGUGACGGUACCUGCAGAAGAAGCACCGGCCAACUACGUG
rnacentral:rRNA from 1 species